GUCCUUACGUCCAUGGCUACACACGUGCUACAAUGGCCGGGACAAACCGUUGCGAUACCGCGAGGUGGAGCGAAUCGGAAAAACCCGGUCUAAGUUCGGAUUGCAGUCUGUAACUCGACUGCAUGAAGUUGGAAUCGCUAGUAAUCGUGGGUCAGCUACACCACGGUGAAUCCGUUCCCGGGCCUUGUACACACCGCCCGUCACGCCAUGGAAGUUGGGAGCGCCCGAAGUCCGUGCGCCAACCGCAAGGAGGCAGCGGCCGAAGGCGAGUUCGAUGACUGGGGCGAAGUCGUAACAAGUGUAGCCGUAGGUGGAACCUGCGGCUGGAUCACCUCCUUAAUCUAGAUGCAUCGCGAGUUAGCG
rnacentral:rRNA from 1 species